CGGAGGAUCCGAGCGUUAUCCGGAUUUAUUGGGUUUAAAGGGUGCGUAGGCGGAAAUGUAAGUCAGUGGUGAGAUCCUGCAGCUUAACUGUAGAAUAGCCGUUGAAACUGUGUUUCUUGAGUACAUUUGAGGUAGGCGGAAUGUGGUGUGUAGCGGUGAAAUGCAUAGAUAUACCACAGAACACCGAUUGCGAAGGCAGCUUACUAAACUGUCACUGACGCUGAUGCACGAAAGCGUGGGUAUCAAACAGGAUUA
rnacentral:rRNA from 1 species